UACGGAGGGUGCAAGCGUUAUCCGGAUUCACUGGGUUUAAAGGGUGUGUAGGCGGGGAUUUAAGUCAGUGGUGAAAUCUCCAGGCUCAACCUGGAAACUGCCAUUGAUACUAUUUAUCUUGAAUAUUGUUGAGGUAGGCGGAAUAUGUCAUGUAGCGGUGAAAUGCUUAGAUAUGACAUAGAACACCGAUUGCGAAGGCAGCUUGCUAAACAAUUAUUGACGCUGAGGCACGAAGGCGUGGGGAUCAAACAGG
rnacentral:rRNA from 1 species